rnacentral:rRNA from 1 species
GCGGCAGGCUUAACACAUGCAAGUCGAGGGGCAUCGGGAGGGAAGCUUGCUUUCCUUGCCGGCGACCGGCGCACGGGUGAGUAACACGUAUGCAACCUGCCCUCUUCAGGGGGACAACCUUCCGAAAGGGAGGCUAAUCCCGCGUAUAUCGGUUUCGGGCAUCCGAGAUCGAGGAAAGAUUCAUCGGAAGAGGAUGGGCAUGCGGCGCAUUAGCUAGACGGCGGGGUAACGGCCCACCGUGGCGACGAUGCGUAGGGGUUCUGAGAGGAAGGUCCCCCACACUGGUACUGAGACACGGACCAGACUCCUACGGGAGGCAGCAGUGAGGAAUAUUGGUCAAUGGGAGAGAUCCUGAACCAGCCAAGCCGCGUGAGGGAAGACGGCCCUAUGGGUUGUAAACCUCUUUUGUCGGAGAACAAAACCCGGGACGAGUCCCGGACUGCGUGUAUCCGAAGAAAAAGCAUCGGCUAACUCCGUGCCAGCAGCCGCGGUAAUACGGAGGAUGCGAGCGUUAUCCGGAUUUAUUGGGUUUAAAGGGUGCGUAGGCGGUCCGUUAAGUCAGCGGUAAAAUUGCGGGGCUCAACCCCGUCGAGCCGUUGAAACUGGCAGACUUGAGUUGGCGAGAAGUACGCGGAAUGCGCGGUGUAGCGGUGAAAUGCAUAGAUAUCGCGCAGAACUCCGAUUGCGAAGGCAGCGUACCGGCGCCAGACUGACGCUGAGGCACGAAAGCGUGGGGAUCGAACAGGAUUAGAUACCCUGGUAGUCCACGCAGUAAACGAUGAAUGCUGGUUGUCCGGGUCGAAUGAGACCUGGGCGGCGAAGCGAAAGCGAUAAGCAUUCCACCUGGGGAGUACGCCGGCAACGGUGAAACUCAAAGGAAUUGACGGGGGCCCGCACAAGCGGAGGAACAUGUGGUUUAAUUCGAUGAUACGCGAGGAACCUUACCCGGGCUCAAACGGGAGUGGAAUGGACCAGAGACGGUUCAGCCUACGGGCCGCUUCCGAGGUGCUGCAUGGUUGUCGUCAGCUCGUGCCGUGAGGUGUCGGCUUAAGUGCCAUAACGAGCGCAACCCCCGCCGGCAGUUGCUAACGGGCAAUGCCGAGGACUCUGCCGGGACUGCCGCCGCAAGGCGUGAGGAAGGCGGGGAUGACGUCAAAUCAGCACGGCCCUUACGUCCGGGGCGACACACGUGUUACAAUGGGCGGUACAGCGGGAAGCCAGGCGGCGACGCCGAGCGGAACCCGAAAGCCGUUCUCAGUUCGGAUCGGAGUCUGCAACCCGACUCCGUGAAGCUGGAUUCGCUAGUAAUCGAGCAUCAGCCAUGGCGCGGUGAAUACGUUCCCGGGC